UCUUUAGUGAACUAAUUCUCCAGCACACAGCGUCUAUCACCAGGGGACAAAGAACACAUUCCUGAAACAAGGCAGACGGCUCAUCUUCGGACCUAGAGGGUCCCUUCUUUCAGGCAAUGGGCAGUGUCUGGAGCCUUUUAUCUACUGUGCGCUGAGCACAGCACUGGGAGCUGAGAUCGCAGUAGGAAUCUCCUGGUCUGUUAUUUCAGGCGCUUAAAUCUGGACACAGAUCAAAGACAAAUUAUGACAACCAGAUGAGACAGGCUAUUCAAAUUAUGAGCUAGGAAUUUUGUUGCCUUCAAAAUGCUAUACAGUGGAUCUUCAACUGAUGGGAAUAUUUCAGUUGUUUCUUUGUGUGUGUGCCCAGUUUCACCUGUCACCAUCCCACCAGGCUUUGGCUCAAUUUUUUAUUGGGAAAAGUAUGAAGAAGGGGCCCUGUCUAUGUAUAUACUGUUUGACAUUUGUCACUUAGAGUUCUUAGAAGAAGAACCAAGACAGAGGAGAUGAUUCUACAUAUGAAUCAACAUACACAACAAUGCACUAUGACAACCAGAUGACUCAUAUCUCAUGCUUGGUCAGAACAUCUGUCCAGUUUUCUGUCCUACCUUUGAAUGAGGGCAGCAACAAGAUUGCAAUGAGCUGGACCGUGGGUUUUAUUAAAAGGUUGGGAAAUCAGAAACUAUUUCAAUUCUUUCAUUCAUUGUUCCAUUCAAUAUUUGUUUGCUAAGUAUUACUGCUGUAUAAGGCUCUGGGAGUUGAAAACAACAUGAGAUGCAGUGUAGAAUGUGGGAGGGUAAGGUAACCCCAGACAGAUUUGAAGAUGUAACAUCCAAAGGAACCCUGGAGGCUGAGCUGGAGGUGCAG